rnacentral:rRNA from 1 species
UUUCCCGGUUGAUCCUGCCGGGACCUGACUGCUAUCGGAAUGAUACUAAGCCAUGUGAGUCAUUGUAGCAAUACAAGGCAGACGGCUCAGUAACACGUAGCCAAUCUAACCUAUGGACGGGGAUAACCUCGGGAAACUGAGGAUAAACCCCGAUAGAUCAUUAUGCCUGGAAAGGUUUAUGGUCCAAAUGAUUCGUCGCCGUAGGAUGAGACUGCGGCCUAUCAGCUUGUUGGUGAGGUAAUGGCCCACCAAGGCUAUUACAGGUACGGGCUCUGAGAGGAGAAGCCCGGAGAUGGGUACUGAGACACGGACCCAGGCCCUAUGGGGCGCAGCAGGCGAGAAACCUUUGCAAUGUGCGCAAGCACGACAAGGUUAAUCCGAGUGUUUCCUGCUAAAGGAAUCUUUUGUUAGUCCUAAAAACACUAGUGAAUAAGGGGUGGGCAAGUUCUGGUGUCAGCCGCCGCGGUAAAACCAGCACCUCAAGUGGUCAGGAGGAUUAUUGGGCCUAAAGCAUCCGUAGCUUGCUCUGUAAGUUUCCGGUUAAAUCUAUUAGCUCAACUAAUGGGCUGCCGGAAAAACUGCAAAGCUAGGAAGUGGGAGAGGUAGACGGUACUCGGUAGGAAGGGGUAAAAUCCUUUGAUCUAUUGAUGACCACCUGUGGCGAAGGCGGUCUACCAGAACACGUUCGACAGUGAGGGAUGAAAGCUGGGGGAGCAAACCGGAUUAGAUACCCGGGUAGUCCCAGCUGUAAACGAUGCAGACUCGGUGAUGCCCUGGCUUGUGGCCAGUGCAGUGCCGCAGGGAAGCCGUUAAGUUUGCCGCCUGGGAAGUACGUACGCAAGUAUGAAACUUAAAGGAAUUGGCGGGGGAGCACCACAAGGGGUGAAGCCUGCGGUUCAAUUGGAUUCAACGCCGGG